AUCUGUUCAAACUUCUCACAGCUCCCAGGAGGAAGGAGACCCAGCACCAGGCCGGGAGCUAUAAAGGGAAGACUCUGUGCGUUUGUUCCCUGCUAACUGAGAUUUAUGGCGAUGUGCCCUGACCUAGCCCUGGGCUUAUCUCUGUGGUGCCUUUGAAAAAGGGCCAAGCUGGUAAAGAAGUAAGGCAAAGCAGGAGGAUAAAUAGGCGAUGGUUUUCAUAUUCAUGAGUGCAAACUUUUCAGGGCAUCACGACCCAUUUGAAGUGAAAUGCUGCUGAUGCCAAGUGAGAUGCCUGUCCCAGGACAGAGCACAGCCCCCUCCUGUGAGAACUCAGUAUAAAGUUUGCUGCUCUGUGCACUUGAAAGAAGCAGCCAGUACUCAUACUGGAAGUUCACUGAUUUGGGCACUUUCUCCAUGUAGCCAAAGGAGCAAGUCAUUGCUGGUUAAGAUAGGCGCUGCCCCAGGAGCCUCGGUCACUCCCAUCCAAAGGGAUCAUACUAGAAGCACAAAAGAGGACCAAGGAGAGGACCGUGCCAAGGAGAAUCCAGAAAGGACAUU
ensembl:processed_transcript Gm15941 predicted gene 15941